rnacentral:lncRNA from 1 species
UUGAAAGAGGAAGCGAGGCUGUGGUGAAUUAAAGGUAUGUACAAUUUGCAUUGGUGCUUGCGUAUAUUUUCUCUGAAGAUGACCAUAAUUGUUUCAUGCCACUUGUUGUUCUUCAGCAGAGAUUUAAUCAAUCCAGAGAUGUUGUAAAUUGACACAGUUGAACCACAUAUUUGGAGAGAUGAUGCCGUUGACUUCCGCAACGAUGAGCAAGGUGGCGAAUACCCGCUAGAGAGAGUGGGAGAACUUCUAGCACCACUCGACAGCCAGAUCAUCAACCAUGUAAGGUAUGGGGGCAAACAACACCCAUGAUUGUUUUUUCUGUAUUCGUCCGUUCUUCUCAGCAGCAAGCCGGCAACUUAGCCAAUGAUGUUGGACGAUCCAAUUCUUUUGGACUCAAACUCUUGGAUUGUUGCUGUAUAUUCUGAAUUUCUUUUGUAAACAAAAGCGAGGAGUUUGAGAGGAGCUGCAAUUGUAAAAUUUACUUGUUUUCAUUCGAAUUGUUUACUUUAUUAUGAAAUGAUUUUUAUUUCUUCUGGAUUUGAU